rnacentral:lncRNA from 1 species
AACAUGGUUCAAAAGUACUUCUAUCUCAUAGACAAGAAUCGAAGCAUACUUAAGCAAAUACCUAAAGCAAACAUAAACGAAAACAAACACAUAGCAAUCCGAAAAUAGAAGAUGAAAUACACUCUCAAAAUAUCCCUACUUGUUCUAUUCUUCGAGUGCGCGGAGUCCUAGGCUACUUGCUUUGGACGAAUGCUGAAGGUGGAUCGGAUUGUGGUGUUUGGAGGUUGAUGGAGUUUCGGCAAAGGGCUUUGGUGUUAUUUGCACGGGUUGAUGAUCAUCUUCUGUCCUUGAAGUCGUGCUUUAUAUAGAGGAAAAACCCUAGAGAAGUCGGCCACAAAGCCUAAACCAAUUGGUUUAGGAUUCCUAGUUUUUCUCCCUUUCGGCAGAAUGACCUCCGUCUGAUGAUUGCGUCAUAACUCCCUCUAGAAAACAGAUAUUGAGGUGAUUCCAAUUGAUUUGGAAACUAGACUCCCGUAGCUUUCUAUCCAUAUCUGGCACGUUUUCUGAUUCAUUGUGAGCUGUCCUGGAGAGUCCGUUGAAGUUGACAGACGUGCACAGGAAUUCUCCCGAUUUAAUCCGGAUUUUCAAGGGCUUGGAUAUUCUUGAAAUUCUGCCGAAUUUAGAUCUUCUUCUCCAUAUUGGACUUGGUUUGGAUCUCUCCUUCAUGGACUAGGCUUCGAGGAAAAAUGGAAUCUUGAUCAAGACAGGAAUCCUGAGUAAACAAGGGUUUCCAACACUCAGCACAAUUUCAACACCAAAUUAUUCAAAUCCGAAAAUACUAUGUAUUCUAAUACUAAAAACUACAUAUUUCUAAAUUAAGCAAUUAUUCUACACUAAACACAAAUAUAAAGCUAAAACAACUAAAUAGGAGUUAACAAAGGGUAAAUAAAGGGUAUAAACAUAUUAAGAACGUCACACUUUGUGCUCCUAUCAACAACCCCACACUUAACCUUUGCUAGUCCCUUAGCAAACUACUAAAACAAAAACAACAAAACAAAUCUCGAAAAUACUACAAUGACUCAAUCUAAUGCCUUCAACGAAAUUGUCUCA